GCCUCUCGCGUCGCUCGUUACCCUCCUCUCCCCUCGCGCCGCGCCGCCGCCUCGCGCUCGCCGUCUCCUCCCCUCCCGUUCCCGUGCGCGUGCGACGGCCGCCGCCGCCAUCCCCACCGCCAGCCCCUCUUCCUCCCCCACGUCCCUCUCUGGAGCCCCCCUUUACCGGAAGAGAGAUGGCAAACACUCUCUGUUUCGUUGAGAAGGGGAGCAGAAGGAAGGCAUGAGCAUGCGGGAGCAGCGCCUCUGUCCGCCGCUGCCGUGGCACGAGGAUGCGGCAGCAGCGCCGCCGUCUGCCGCCGCCUCGCUGUGCCACCUAUGCUAUGCCACCGCCCUCCCUGUCGUCCUCAGCAAAGGAGGCUGGGAUCCAGACCUCCGGCUCGUGCUGCUCCACAUGAGCAGAAGCAGCAGCGCGGGGAGAGGAUCGGCCAGAGGCACACCCCGGCGGCAGUAGCACAUACUGCGGGAGUAGCAGUGAAUACGGCAAUGGACGAAAAAGAGGGCCGCGUCAGCCGGCGUUGGGAUGUAGAGGUCACAUCAGUACCAAUGUCAUACGCUGAUCAAAGAUGUGCUGGAAGCCUCUCCAAAUGACAUACUAGAUAUCGCAGGUCAUUUCAUGUUAAUGAACUACUGUCUCUUGAGUUAAAGAAAAGUUGACAUGAUGGGGUUCUAGCAGCCAUUUCUUUGGGCUUGCGAGAUGAAGGGACCAGUCCAAAGGGGCUCCAAGGAUGAAGAUUUGGCAAGCUUAAUUCCAUGCACACUCAACUAUAUGCAAACACAUGACCAAGAAAGAAAUUUGGCCAAGGAAACAUGAGUACUGGCAGUGGGUCGUAGCGUAAGAGGCGGAAAGAAAUCAGGAUAUCCGCCUUGGGCUCUACUCCGGGAUCGCAUCUGCAAUGUUGAGCCACGGCCCGAAGGUACAGUGGUGGGAUUCACCAUGGUUGGUUUGACCCCUGGCAAGGUGUCAACACUGAUGAUCUCUCCAUCUCUCUACCAUCCCGAGAUCGAUGACAGAGGGAGAGAGAUGAAUCUGGAUCAGUUCUUCCUUGAGCCGAUCUUUCCUUAGCAACUUCACACGGAUCAAUUCUUCUAUAGAUAGGAGAUAAAUUCAUGAUUGCCUACCACCAAAAAGAGCCACAUAAUUCAGUAGCGUGCGGUACAGACCAUUGAUAGUAGUAGACCAUAUCAGUAUUACCCAUUGCUGAUCUGUCCUAUUUUAGAAUUGGUCUAGGAAUUUCAGUAAGAGCUUGAUUUUCAGAUCGAUGACAGAGGGAGAGAAAUGAAUCUGGAUCAGUUCGACAAAAAAACGAAGCAGAUUCUUCCCUGUUUUGAUCUCUUGAUUGAGCACAGAUGAAGAGAUUUUUGGGUUCAGUAAAGAUCCAGGUAUUUGUGCCGACAUUUUCUCACAAAUUUUACGAAUUUUGGCUAAAAACUACUAGGUGCAGUGGAGAGUGUCUUAAAAUUUCGGCUUGGACACCGCUUACUACUAAUUUUGGUGUUGGAUUAUGCGAGCGCCGAAAUGCUGAACGAGCGGAGUGACUUCCGAGACCUCAUAAUGGAGAUCAUCUCUAAACAAAGGUCGGUCAACUAUGCUAGGCCUCCAUUCUGAGGUAGCUACAUUAUUUGUGUGCCUUACUUUUCCUAUCGAUGUUAAUCCUCAUUCAAAUUCAGCGAGGUAAGGGUUGGAAAAAAAGCAAAGUCUAACAGAUUCCCUUUUACUCUCAUGUUAGUGGUGCCGGACCAGAAAAACUUUGAUAAUAAAGGUUCUGAAAUUAAUAUCGGUUAUGCCUGUGUAACGCACAACUGGCGCUUCUCCUCCAAGUUGUGGUUUUAUGUCGGUGCCUCGCCAUGUAACAGCCCAGAGAUAAGAAGACGCCAGUGCAAUUUGGUGACAGUGGAGGGUAGGGAGGAGCGCCAACCGCUGCUCUGUCAGGAGGAGAUGAUCGGGAGGAGCGUGCCGUUGCCAUCACCUCGAGGAGCACCGAGUGCCAGCCGCUGCUCCUACGGGAGGAGCGCCGUCAACAAAGAUCGAGGUUCCUCUCUAUAUAUUUGGAGGAGGAUUCGAAAGGAAGCUAUAUUGAUCUACCAACCGGUUCAGAUGACAAUUGAAUGUUGUGGUUCAGGAAAGCAUAUUACCUUGGUCACACUGGUUAAGAUGAAAAUGGAAUGUGUCCGGCACAUGAUCAAGAACCAUGAAGAUGCGGCUGCAGUUUACGUUUUGAAGCAUGUAUUUCAGUUCAGAUUCAUACUAAUGCAUCUAUUUACCUUGCUAUGUUAUCUGACAAUUGUUCACUGGUCAAGUUAUUUUUGCUUUAUUUUUCUGGCCAUUUUUUUCAACUCCUUACAACAGCAUGUUGCCAACAUCUGGCCCCUUUACUGUCCUCUACUCUAUGAAAUAUUUGCACAUGCUAUUAUUGUUCAGACACUACAUUCCGAGAGCACUUGUGUUUGCCAGUAUUGGCUGCUGUUUGUGGCUUUCUUUGCCUUCAAUUGAUGUACGGACAAAGGAACACGGAGAGGAAACCAGAUGAGAGGCUUCUUUAGCAGUUGACCGCUCCAUCUCUCUUCCUCUCUCCUCAACUUAGCAGUUGGCAUUCAUCUCGGUGUGUUAUUAUUAUCUCUUGAGGGUGCAAAGAGCUAAGGUUGGCUAAAAUUCAUGAAGUGCCAUGGUGUUCUGCUGGGUUUGGUUGUCCAUGUCAACGUGCAAUUUGAAGAUCAGAUCGCCACUCCCCGUGGAACAAGUUAAGAAUAAUUAUGAUGCUUCUGUGCUAUGAAAUUUCUAUGACAUCUAGCAGUCCUAUGAUUAUUUGCUUGUUUACUUACUUACUAAGUAAAUUCGGUUAUGGAAAAUAUACUAGCUGAUAAUAUGUGUUUCUCAAAUUAUGACAUUAGGCAUUUAGCUUUUUCCCUUGUUAAUCAUAAUCAUGAAGGCCAGUAUAUUGAGGAGUCGUGGAGUAAAGUCUAACUAGCACGUGAUUCUUUUUUGCAAGGAACUUUUACAUAUUCUCAUGGCAAUUAUGGCUAUUGAUUUCUGUUAUAUUAUAUACAUAUCUGAAUAAUGCAGUCUGAAGUGAUACGAAUGUCUGCUGAAAUGGAGUUCUUACUCAACAAACUAUGUUGCUAGGCUUGGAAAAUAAUGCCUUGAGGGAAAGUCUCAACAUUGUAGCAUAGAAGCGACUAAUUAAACGUGGAAAGUAAUUGUAUUUUCCCUCUUAAAUUUUAUUUCUUGUUUUGGAGUUCUGUUCUCCAUUAAAUAAUCAUUUUGGCAAUUUGGUCAAGAGCUCAUCAUUAAUAGACUAAGGGUUUAUGCAUGGCCUGUAUUUUGAAUGUAAAAUUUUCCUGUGAAAUAUGAUGGCGGAUCCAGUCUGACUUUCGUGAUUUCAUCACAAAUUUUGUUUGCUGAAGUAAUACAGUUGGUAGAUGGAGCUCUGAACGAUGCCCUGUUAUGAUUUAUGUCUUUAGUUUUGCAGACAUCUAUAGGCAGCAAAAAAGAUUGUCAGUGUGUUGUACCAGGUCGGCGAGUACGCCGACAAGAACCCCAAUUCCGCCGACUGUGUCGAGGGAGCCCUUAGCCUACGUGGCUGGCUAUAAUCCAAGGGACAUCACAUACUGUAACGAACGACAAGGAGGGGCUGAGGAGUGCUCAUGGAGCUAUCAUCCGAGGAUGCAGGUGGCCACGGAAAACCAUUGUUUCAGAUUAUCCGUUGUUUCUGUAGUCCAUGCCGCCAAAUGAGGUCUGUUUUGGAGCAUCUCAAUUAUUUUUUUAUCAUUUCUCUUUGAUUGUUUCGGUGGAUUACACUGAUGGAAUGUUCACUGAGUAACUCCCAUGACCAGCUGAUCGUUUUACUUGUGGCUGUUGAAGGAUUACUUCUCUCUAUUUUUGUUGUUAUAUAACCUUGCUAUUUAAUCUCAUCCACUCUGUUUAGUUGAUGCAAACGUCCGUGCGAAUAACAAGGGUCUAAUCACGUGGGAUUUUUUCCAGUACCCGACGCACCUCAGUUGCCUAGAAAUGUGGAAGUAGGGACAUGUACAAUCAAGAGCUCUCUCACUUGUAAAAAUUAAAUGAUGCUAGACAAACCCAUGUUCAUUUCAGCAGCAUUUCAUGUGGGUCGCUGCUUAUGCUGAAGUACGUUUCCGCUGUCGUUGGGUCACCGCUGCUGCUGGAGUACAGGUUGACGGCCUCCAUCUUGGCAUAAGGUUUAAGACAUGGUUGUUGUUGAGAUUCCAUCCAGGGUCUUGAUCAUGGCAGCUUCCAGAUCCAUUGUACAACACUAUACCCACGAAGUAUGAAGUGACGGCGACCUUCCUCUAUUGGUAUGUCAUAUACAUCAAUUUAUUGGAGAAGCCUGGCUAUCCAUCGAGCAAACAUUGUAUAGGCUAUUGAUUAUUGUAUACAAUCAACACCCUGUAGUAAGACAUGUUAGACCAUUUACAUAGUGUUUCACCCA